rnacentral:rRNA from 1 species
AUGAUACGCGAGGACCUUACCUGGGCUCGAACGUAAGAUGACUGUAGGUGAAAGCUUACAUCUCUUCGGAGCAUUUUACGAGGUGCUGCAUGGUUGUCGUCAGCUCGUGCCGUGAGGUGUCGGGUUAAGUCCCAUAACGAGCGCAACCCUACCUUUAGUUGCCAUCAGGUAAUGCUGGGGACUCUAAAGGAACUGCCUACGCAAGUAGUGAGGAAGCGGGGAUGACGUCAAAUCAGCACGGCCCUUACGUCCAGGGCUACACACGUGCUACAAUGGCCGAUACAGAGGGCAGCUACCUGGUGACAGGAUGCAAAUCUCCAAAGUCGGUCUCAGUUCGGAUCGGAGUCUGCAACCCGACUCCGUGAAGUUGGAUUCGCUAGUAAUCGCGCAUCAGCCAUGGCGCGGUGAAUACGUUCCCGGGCCUU